GUGCUUAGAGAAAUAUGCUUGUUUCGGGUUUCAGACUCUCAAGAGGAUAGUGGUCAUUGAUUUCUAGCCUUAAAGUAACGAUAAAGACUUCCAGAUAUGAAUGGGCUCCUAUGGAAUCCAGCCAGUCUGCCUGAAAGCCUCCUGCUGUAAAACACUUGGUUUCAUCUGGAUGUCCACCCUCCUCUUCCUUUACUCCUCCUUCACUUUUUCAGAUUGCCUCACUUGGCAGCUGUCCUGAUGAUCACACAGAAUGGCAUUUAUUGACUGAAUAGUUGGCUUAUUGAAGAGUAACUACUUUAAGAUUGUGAAAUGAUUUCUGAAGGUUACACAAUUAUCUGUGGAAGUAAAGGCCUUUAUUAUAUGUAUAUCUUUCUAGUCAGUUACGUGGCAGUCAUAAACUUAGAGAAGGGGGCCCCAGGUGGGAUCCUGGAAAAGGACAUUUUACUAAUAUCAAAAGGUAGUAGGCUUAGAGACUCUUACUUUAAAUUUAAAACUAAUGAGAAUAAACAGAUACUGUUUUAUUUUAAAACAUUUUCUUUCUUUGUGGCCAAUAGAAUAAACGCUGGCAUGAAAGCCCUCAUAUGAGAAUAUCGAGUGAGUCCUUUCUCAGACUGUGCAUUGACAUUGCCACCAACAUUACUGAGACACUGAAGGAAGGAAUCAAAGCAGAAGAAUGUAAAAUCAAGAACUGCGACAGGAUAAA
rnacentral:lncRNA from 1 species